UUAAGUUAGCUUAACAUUAUAUUUAAUGCUUAUUUAAAAAAUAGAUUGGUAGAUGCGUUUGAUCCUAUAAUUUUUUCAAGUGAUAUGGUUUCGUUGUGUAUAACAAAAAUGUUGAGUUAAUACCAAUUUACAGAAAAUCUUUUGCAUAACCAUACUAUAUACAUGUAUGUCAUAAAAUGAUAUUUUACUCAUGUGCUUGUUGCGAAUUAUUCGAUAUCAACAACACUAUUUUUCUAUUAACUGCAAGGGAAUUGUUUCUAACUAACCCAUCCGAAGGAAAGAGUAAUGUCGUCGUUGAAUUUAAAAGAGAUUUCAACGCCACGUAUAGGUAUUAUUAUUAAAUAGGAAUAUAAGAAGCAAAAGAUACUAUCAAGCAUUUACAAAAUGAAUAGUUGGGUUGAAGGACAUUAUGAACAGGCCCAUUUAAUAUAUUAAAGGUAAAUAUGAAAGAAGCAAUUAAAUGCGAAGCAAUUAAACGAAGUAAUAAGGCAACAAAAAAUAUUAAUAGGCCGUAAUCGCAAUGGAAAGACUUUUUGGAAUAUUUAUAUCCACAGUUAUUGAUUUCAUUGUCAAUUACUCUGAUCAUAGCAAUGUUUAAUAUUUGGAUCACAAAAAGACACCAUAAUACAAAAAUGUAUUGACAAAAAUAUUAUAAAGUAAAGGAAAUGUUUCUACAAGGAAUAUUUUGGGAAUGCUUCUGUGACCAUCAUUUGUGUUGGCACGCAGAUAUAUUGCACAAUACUUAAAUAUGCUACCAUUGCCAAUGAUGCUGGGAGGAAAGACAAUAAUACAUUAGGAAGACUCUUGAAAGAACUGAAGAAAGCAUUAUCUACAGUCAAGGACGUGAAUUAUAUAGAAAACGAAUUAAAAGAGAAAAUCCAAAACGAUAAAGGCAAAAUCAUGGAGAAAGAACAAUGAGUUAAAGGAUCUUUCACAAGAGAUUUUUCAUCAGAGGUAGCUUCUCGUUUUGUAUGGCAGAAAAAAUAGAAAAUUUUCAAUAUUUAGAUCAUCCUCAAAUUAUCGAAGAUGAAUUGAACAAGUAAAAAUUAAUAUGCAAAGUUUUCGUGAGCCUAAUGACGUUGAAAAGGAGCCGCCUGAAGAAAACAAAAUGUGGAAAUGGAAUAAUGGAUUCAGACCAAAUAAUCUGGAUUUAGACCAUCGAAGAAAAGAGCCUUCAACAAUACGGAACAAGCAACAAGGAUGUUACACAAACGCGAGCCUCUUGUGAAAGUCAAAUUUAGCAGCAACAAAUGAUACGACAGCUUGCAGAAUGCAACAGAGUAUUCUAAGAUUUACACAUCAAUGAAGAAAUAAUCGAAAGGAUGAAACUAUUGCAUAUACUUAAUCUAAUAUUCGAUCAUCGCUCUGACGAAAUAAUGAUGGAACCCAGAACGGUACCAUGAAAAAGGAUAUUAAUGCGCAACAGCAUAGUAAUAACACAAACACAUUCUAGUAAAAUCACCUGUCAGCUGAUUGAUUUUUAAACGUAAUGGUUAUUGUAAUAACAGUCGAGAAAAGAAAUUUUAAUUCAUUUUUAAAUUGCAAUUAACAUGUAAGUAAUAUAUUUUAAUACGAAUUUUA